AUUGAACGCUGGCGGCAUGCUUUACACAUGCAAGUCGAACGGUAACAGGUUAAGCUGACGAGUGGCGAACGGGUGAGUAAUGCAUCGGAACGUGCCCGGUCGUGGGGGAUAACGCAGCGAAAGCUGCGCUAAUACCGCAUACGAUCUGAGGAUGAAAGCGGGGGACCGUAAGGCCUCGCGCGAUCGGAGCGGCCGAUGUCAGAUUAGGUAGUUGGUGGGGUAAAGGCUCACCAAGCCAACGAACUGUAGCUGGUCUGAGAGGACGACCAGCCACACUGGUACUGAGACACGGCCCAGGCGCCUACGGGAGGCAGCAGUGGGGAAUGUUGGACAAUGGGCGAAAGCCUGACUCAGCAAUGCCGCGUGCAGGAAGAAGGCCUUCGGGUUGUAAAAUGCUUUUGUACGGAGCGAAAAGGUCUCCUCUAAUACAGGGGGCUCAUGACGGUACCGUAAGAAUAAGCACCGGCUAACUACGUGCCAGCCGCCGCUGUAA
rnacentral:rRNA from 1 species